GGCCUGAUGGUCUAGUAGUAUGAUUCGCCCUUCGGAGGAAACUCCCUUGUGUACCAAGUGAUUGGGCGAGGUCCCGGGUUCAACUCCCGGUUAGGCCC